rnacentral:rRNA from 1 species
GCCUACGGCCAUACCAGUCUGAAAGUGCCUGAUCUCGUCAGAUCUCAGAAGUCAUGCAGACUUUGGCCUGCUUAGUAGUUGUAUGGGAGACCAACUAGGAAACUCAGGUGCCGUAAGCU